ACGCACGCUGGCGGCGUGCUUCACACAUGCCAGUCGAACGGAAAGGCCCUGCUUUUGUGGGGUGCUCGAGUGGCGAACGGGUGAGUAACACGUGAGUAACCUGCCCUUGACUUUGGGAUAACUUCAGGAAACUGGGGCUAAUACCGGAUAGGAGCUCCUGCUGCAUGGUGGGGGUUGGUAAGUUUCGGCGGUUGGGGAUGGACUCGCGGCUUAUCAGCUUGUUGGUGGGGUAGUGGCUUACCAAGGCUUUGACGGGUAGCCGGCCUGAGAGGGUGACCGGCCACAUUGGGACUGAGAUACGGCCCAGACUCCUACGGGAGGCAGCAGUGGGGAAUAUUGCACAAUGGGCGGAAGCCUGAUGCAGCAACGCCGCGUGCGGGAUGACGGCCUUCGGGUUGUAAACCGCUUUCGCCUGUGACGAAGCGUGAGUGACGGUAAUGGGUAAAGAAGCACCGGCUAACUACGUG
rnacentral:rRNA from 1 species